rnacentral:misc_RNA from 1 species
GUUUGCUUUCUCUUUUAAUGCCUUUUUUCUUUAAAGGUUCUCCUUUAUUAUGGUUCUUGUCAUAGUUUUGGGCAAAACUAGGAUUCUGCAAAUGGGAUUUUGUUGCUGGCUUCAAUUCUUUAAGUUACAGUUUGUUUUUCGUUUUUUAAAUGGCUGUAUUUUGAUUUUAGUGAGCAUUUAGAUUUUUUGAUUCUGUGGCUCUUGGGAUUUUAUGACCUGUUCAUUUUUCUGGUUUUGGUUUCUAUGGAACUGGGUAAGUGGUAAAGUUCGAUUGAGGGCUUUUAAACUUG